GUUGACAUUUCAAGACUCAGUUCUGCAAUAAAAAGGCUAAAUUAAUGACUUACUAAUACCAGGCAAAUGAUCCCACUAUUAGUAAAGUGGGCUGUUCUUGGACUCCACCACUUGUUGACAGAGUUUCUCUCAAAUCAGAGCUUUUAUUAUUCAUUAUUGUUCAUGGGGUUGUUAUCUUUCUUGGUUCAGCACUGCUGGCAGCGGGCUCAGAAAAGCACAUGAGUCGCUGUCAUUCCGCGCAACGUUUGCGGACGGGUGGAAUCCAGUGAUUAGCCUACUUGUACUUGUUGCGAGCCAUACGGCGGCGGCAGCGUCCCGGAGCUGUCAGAAAUUGCGCACAGCCUUCAGUCUUCAGUCUUCAGUCAGUGGAGUUACCAGACUAAUCCAUCAAACAACUCGGAAGAUUAACCUUUUUUAGCCACGCGUAAGUAGGUAUUAGUCUCCACACCCGGAAGCUUGUUUUAAAUUUCACGAUCAUUUUCGUCACAUGGCUUUGGAGAAUUCAAUAACAACAAAAAAUGGCGACAAUCACGUUGUGUAGUCUUGCUGCGUCAUUAAAAAUACUCAUGUAAACACGGGAAACUAAACGGGGAAAUUGCAGGGUCUCCUGUUACAGACAAACGGAGCAUUCCGCCUUGCCAAUUUUUUGGUCCUCUGCCAUGUUUAGUUUUUUUUGCACAUGUUGCUUUGCUUUUCUGACAUGAAGAUUUUUUUGGCCAUUGCCCUGAGCAGCGGGACUAAUGGAGUUGUUUACAUGAAGUGCGGAGGGCGGAUGACGAGGAGGAGGAGCCGCUACGUCGGGCAGAGACGCCACCGGACUGCUCGAGAGGCUGCCCUGCACUGAGGGGGGGGGGGGGGGGGGGGGGGGCGGAGCCCGCGAGGAGAAUCAUAACAAGUCUGACGUCACACGGCCUUGUGGUUGGUAUGAAUAAUAUACAGUAGUUUGUCUCGACCAAGUCCUAGCAGGAAGGAGGUUUGGAAAAAAAAAAAAAAAGUCUUUCUACCUGUAAAUGUUUUAUAAGAUGCAACAUUUACGAGCCCUCCUCUGUGCACCAGCAAAAUGGAAACUAACGGGAAAUAAUAUAAAAAUAAUUACUUUCUUAUGGAAAGAGAAAAAUAACUAACCAUGUUAAAAUAACCUACGCAGGACUUUAAAGCGAGCUUCCUCCUCCCAUUUCCAAGAAUUGUGCAAUGUUGUUUUUUAAUCACAGAUUCACAGCCAGUAGGUAGAGUUCAAAUUUCAUGUGCCAGCUUGUGCAUUAUUAACUGUCCUUAGGGUUAGGGUUACCUUCCCAGGUAGACGUUUCAUCAUAUAAGGGACAACACAGUCUGUCAUUUGCACUGCAGACUCAAUAACCGUACCACUUUUGGUACAAACCUACCAUACCUCAAAGGCCUAAAUAAAUAAAUCACGUACAAUAAUAUUGUCCUGAUUUAUGUGCAUAUGUGAGCUUACUCAUUUAACUUUUAAGACUUUGUUACCCAAACCUUUCUGACAAUUGGUCUGACCCAAGCAGUGGGAUGUAGUAUAAAUAAAAGCUGGAUAAUCAGAAUUAUGAGCCUUGAACUGAUAUAUUUCUGUUCCUACAAUCAAACUAUGUUAUAUAGUUUAUGUUUUGUCUUUUUCCCUCUGUCUUUAUGAAUUUGUUUUUAGAGGUAUUACAUCUCCCCAAAAUGUUAUGGGAUCUUUAAGGGUUAAAUCCCAUGGUUAGAGGGCAACGUAUUUCUUGCUGGUGAUUAGUACGAAGGAUAUUAAAAAAAAGACUAAUGUAUCAGAAAAAGGAUUGUUAAAUUAAAUGCCUAUAUUACUCUGUAGAUGAAUAUGUUAUUGCAUUAGCUGCUGUAUGUUGUUUGAAAAGUGUUUAUACAUUAUGCAAACAAAGGAAAUGCUGAAACAACUAGCAUAUGGUUGGAAUGAGAUACCAUCAAAUGUGCUGCAAAAAAUACAAAAGGAAAACUUUUUUUUGCUUUGUAUCUGUUGACCUGGGAUCACACAUUAUCAUUGACGAUGAAUGGAGCGAAGCCCCGGACUGCUAGAUUUCUCAGGCUGCCCUGGUUCAGUUAUCACGGUGCUGAUGCUGUCCCCAUCGAAGGUACAGUACUGUGAUAACUGAAGGAUGGCUGCCAACUUGACCCAAGUGCAGUGAAUCAAAGCAUGUUCGGGCAACGAGCCAGAGGACCAAAGAGAAGGUGGACAAGUGUGAGUAUGUAAACAAAAAUAUCGUGGUACGUUGCUUUAAAAAUGUUAACGUGAUAUCCAGAAGUCCAUGUGUUUUUAUUAACAAAAAUAGUUUUCCCUUGUUGAAUCUGUCACAAUCUUUUAGACCUUUUUUGUACAUCCAAUUAUUAGAAACUCAAAACCUGUAACUCAGUAUUAUCUUACCUGCUUAUGUAACUUCUGCUUAACUACUGUAUAAGAAAUAAAGGGACAUUUCUUUAAUUCAAA